rnacentral:rRNA from 1 species
CCUACGGGAGGCAGCAGUGGGGAAUCUUGCGCAAUGGGCGAAAGCCUGACGCAGCCAUGCCGCGUGAAUGAUGAAGGUCUUAGGAUUGUAAAAUUCUUUCAGUAGGGACGAUAAUGACGGUACCUACAGAAGAAGCCCCGGCUAACUUCGUGCCAGCAGCCGCGGUAAUACGAAGGGGGCUAGCGUUGCUCGGAAUUACUGGGCGUAAAGGGAGCGUAGGCGGACAUUUAAGUCAGGGGUGAAAUCCCAGAGCUCAACUCUGGAACUGCCUUUGAUACUGGGUGUCUUGAGUGUGAUAGAGGUAUGUGGAACUCCGAGUGUAGAGGUGAAAUUCGUAGAUAUUCGGAAGAACACCAGUGGCGAAGGCGACAUACUGGAUCAUUACUGACGCUGAGGCUCGAAAGCGUGGGGAGCAAACAGGACUAGAUACCCUGGUAGUCCACGCCGUAAACGAUGAUGUCUAGUUGUCGGUAGUAGUUACUAUCUCGUGACGCAGCUACGACAUAAGACACUCCGCCGUCGGGUAGGUACGGUCGCGAAGAAGUUAAAACGUUAAACGUAAGUAGUAGACGNGUAGAGAGCGACGACGACGACGACGGAGGAGGAG